rnacentral:piRNA from 1 species
UGGGAGCCUAUGCCAUUUAUUGGUAAUC